AGGGGAAUGGAUUGGGCAAUAGUAUCCAUUGGGGACUGUGUAAAAUAUACUUUUCUCUGGCCUCACAUAGCUUGUGGCUUAAGACAUAUUAGUAGUUUUACUGAAGGCACACUGGAAGGAAAAACAAUAACCAAAACAUGCGUGAAUGCUGCACUGAAAGUGAAAAACAGAGUGGUUGUAUGGGUGCAGAAGAUUUUACGUCUAUCAGUUGUUUACCCUUGUGAUCACAUGGCUGACUGGGAAUGCAGUUCACUGCCCCUGCCAGCAUCACCAGAGAAAUAAUACAGCAUGUCGCUGGCCAGGGAAAAGUACAGCCCAGGGAAGGAAUGACAUUUCAUUAUCCCAGCACACCUUGCCCCAGACCCUCUGGAUGUGAUGAUCCCUUCUUGGACUUACCAUCAUGAGUCCAAAGCCAAGACCAACUUUUCCACACCUCUUGGGAGCUACAAGUGACUAUGUGCCAACAAGAGGAUAUAACCAUUAUAAAUAUCUAUGCACCCAACACAGGAGCACCUACAUAUGUAAAACAAAUACUAACAGAAUUAAAGGAGGAAAUAGAAUGCAAUUCAUUCAUUCUAGGAGACUUCAACACACCACUCACUCCAAAGGACAGAUCAAUCAGACAGAAAAUAAGUAAGGACACAGAGGCAUUGAACAACACACUAUAACAGAUGGAACUAACAGAAAUCUACAGAGCUCUACACCCAAAAGCAGCAGGAUACACAUACUUCUCAAGUGCACAUGGACAUUUUCCAGAAUAGACCACAUACUAGGCCACAAAAAGAGCCUCAGUAAAUUCAAAAAGACUGAAAUUCUACCAACCAACUUCUCAGACCACAAAGGUAUAAAACUAGAAAUAAAUUGUACAAAGAAAACAAAAAGGCUCACAAAGAAAAGGAGGCUUAACAACAUGCUCCUAAAUAAUCAAUGGAUCAAU